AUUGAACGCUGGCGGCAUGCUUUACACAUGCAAGUCGAGCGGCAGGCGCGGGGCGAACCUGGCGGCGAGCGGCGAACGGGUGAGGAAUACAUCGGAACGUACCCGAGAGUGGGGGAUAACGCCGCGAAAGCGGCGCUAAUACCGCAUAUUCUCUGAGGAGGAAAGUGGGGGACCGCAAGGCCUCACGCUCACGGAGCGGCCGAUGUCGGAUUAGCUAGUUGGUGGGGUAAAGGCUUACCAAGGCGACGAUCCGUAGCUGGUCUGAGGGGAUGAUCAGCCACACUGGGACUGAGACACGGCCCAGACUCCUACGGGAGGCAGCAGUGGGGAAUUUUGGACAAUGGGGGCAACCCUGAUCCAGCCAUGCCGCGUGCGGGAAGAAGGCCUUCGGGUUGUAAACCGCUUUUAGUCGGGAAGAAAAGGCGUCGUCUAAUAAACGGCGUUCUUGACGGUACCGGCGGAAUAAGCACCGGCUAACUACGUG
rnacentral:rRNA from 1 species